rnacentral:rRNA from 1 species
GGCGGCAGGCUUAAACAUGCAGUCGAGCGCCCCGCAGGGGCAGCGGCAGACGGGUGAGUAACGCGUGGGAACGUACCAUUUGCUACGGAAUAACUCAGGGAAACUUGUGCUAAUACCGUAUGUGCCCUUCGGGGGAAAGAUUUAUCGGCAAAUGAUCGGCCCGCGUUGGAUUAGCUAGUUGGUGGGGUAAAGGCUCACCAAGGCGACGAUCCAUAGCUGGUCUGAGAGGAUGAUCAGCCACACUGGGACUGAGACACGGCCCAGACUCCUACGGGAGGCAGCAGUGGGGAAUAUUGGACAAUGGGCGCAAGCCUGAUCCAGCCAUGCCGCGUGAGUGAUGAAGGCCCUAGGGUUGUAAAGCUCUUUCACCGGUGAAGAUAAUGACGGUAACCGGAGAAGAAGCCCCGGCUAACUUCGUGCCAGCAGCCGCGGUAAUAACGUGGGCGGGGCCGGCGGGCG